rnacentral:rRNA from 1 species
UACGUAGGUGGCAAGCGUUGUCCGGAAUUAUUGGGCGUAAAGCGCGCGCAGGCGGUCCUUUAAGUCUGAUGUGAAAUCUCGCGGCUCAACCGCGAGCGGUCAUUGGAAACUGGGGGACUUGAGUGCAGAAGAGGAAAGUGGAAUUCCACGUGUAGCGGUGAAAUGCGUAGAGAUGUGGAGGAACACCAGUGGCGAAGGCGACUUUCUGGUCUGUAAACUGACGCUGAGGCGCGAAAGCGUGGGGGAGCAAACAGG